rnacentral:rRNA from 1 species
GACGAACGCUGGCGGCGUGCCUAAUACAUGCAAGUCGAGCGAAGCGGCGGAUGGGUGAGUAACGCGUGGGUAACCUGCCCUUCAGUCUGGGAUACCAUUUGGAAACAGAUGCCAAUACCGGAUACUAAAGGAUGGACCUGCGUUGCAUUAGCUAGUUGGUAAGGUCACGGCUUACCAAGGCGAUGAUGCAUAGCCGAGUUGAGAGGAUGAUCGGCCACAUUGGGACUGAGACACGGCCCAGACUCCUACGGGAGGCAGCAGUAGGGAAUCUUGCACAAUGGGCGAAAGUCUGAUGGAGCAACGCCGCGUGAGUGAAGAAGGUUUUCGGAUCGUAAAGCUCUGUUAUUGGGGAAGCGGUAAUCAACCAGAAAGUACCGGCUAACUACGUGCCAGCAGCCGCGGUAAUAC